rnacentral:rRNA from 1 species
UAGAGUUUGAUCAUGGCUCAGGAUGAACGCUAGCGACAGGCUUAACACAUGCAAGUCGAGGGGCAGCGGGGAGGUAGCAAUACUUCCGCCGGCGACCGGCGCACGGGUGAGUAACACGUAUGGAACCUGCCCGUAGCAGGGGGAUAAACGGAAGAAAUUCCGUCUAAUACCGCGUAAUAACUCCGAGAGGCAUCUCAUGGAGUUUAAAGGGUAACACCGGCUACGGAUGGCCAUGCGGCGCAUUAGCUAGUUGGCGGGGUAACGGCCCACCAAGGCGACGAUGCGUAGGGGUUCUGAGAGGAAGGUCCCCCACACUGGUACUGAGACACGGACCAGACUCCUACGGGAGGCAGCAGUGAGGAAUAUUGGUCAAUGGGCGCGAGCCUGAACCAGCCAAGUCGCGUGAGGGAAGACGGUCCUAUGGAUUGUAAACCUCUUUUGUCGGGGAGCAAAAGACGCCACGCGUGGCGUUCCGAGAGUACCCGAAGAAAAAGCAUCGGCUAACUCCGUGCCAGCAGCCGCGGUAAUACGGAGGAUGCGAGCGUUAUCCGGAUUUAUUGGGUUUAAAGGGUGCGCAGGCGGAAGAUCAAGUCAGCGGUAAAAUUGAGAGGCUCAACCUCUUCGAGCCGUUGAAACUGGUUUUCUUGAGUGAGCGAGAAGUAUGCGGAAUGCGUGGUGUAGCGGUGAAAUGCAUAGAUAUCACGCAGAACUCCGAUUGCGAAGGCAGCAUACCGGCGCUCAACUGACGCUCAUGCACGAAAGUGUGGGUAUCGAACAGGAUUAGAUACCCUGGUAGUCCACACAGUAAACGAUGAAUACUAAUUGUUCGGGGAGAAUGAUCCCUGAGUGAUACAGCGAAAGCGUUAAGUAUUCCACCUGGGGAGUACGCCGGCAACGGUGAAACUCAAAGGAAUUGACGGGGGCCCGCACAAGCGGAGGAACAUGUGGUUUAAUUCGAUGAUACGCGAGGAACCUUACCCGGGCUCAAACGACACAGGAAUACUUUUGAAAGGAAGUAGCUCUACGGAGCCUGUGUCGAGGUGCUGCAUGGUUGUCGUCAGCUCGUGCCGUGAGGUGUCGGCUUAAGUGCCAUAACGAGCGCAACCCCCAUCGCCAGUUACCAGCAAGUCAAGUUGGGGACUCUGGCGAGACUGCCGGCGCAAGCUGUGAGGAAGGCGGGGAUGACGUCAAAUCAGCACGGCCCUUACGUCCGGGGCGACACACGUGUUACAAUGGCAGGUACAGAGAGAAGCAAUGCGGCGACGCAAAGCGGAACUUGAAAGCCUGUCUCAGUUCGGAUUGGAGUCUGCAACUCGACUCCAUGAAGCUGGAUUCGCUAGUAAUCGCGCAUCAGCCAUGGCGCGGUGAAUACGUUCCCGGGCCUUGUACACACCGCCCGUCAAGCCAUGGAAGCCGGGAGUGCCUGAAGUGUGCAACCGCAAGGAGCGCCCUAAGGUAAAACUGGUGACUGGGGCUAAGUCGUAACAAGGUAACCGUA